rnacentral:lncRNA from 1 species
UUGUUUUACGGCCCGUUUUACUUGAUGUAUAAAAACUGAAAAAUCAGCCUAGGGCUGAUCAUUCUGAAGAUUCACGAAAUAAACAAACCCUAGCAGCCAGCCUCUUUGAAUGGAGAACUAAGAACUAUAGAUCAAUCCGUUGGUUAAGACACUUUGGUUCAUUAUCUUGAGGUUUGAAUUCUAAUGCAAUUUCAAUUCAUGUUUCUAUUUCUUUCUCUGUAAAUUUCGCUGCCUUUCU